rnacentral:rRNA from 1 species
UACCAGCACCCCGAGUGGUCGGGACGUUUAUUGGGCCUAAAGCAUCCGUAGCCGGUUCUACAAGUCUUCCGUUAAAUCCACCUGCUUAACAGAUGGGCUGCGGAAGAUACUAUGGAGCUAGGAGGCGGGAGAGGCAAGCGGUACUCGAUGGGUAGGGGUAAAAUCCGUUGAUCCAUUGAAGACCACCAGUGGCGAAGGCGGCUUGCCAGAACGCGCUCGACGGUGAGGGAUGAAAGCUGGGGGAGCAAGCCGG